rnacentral:rRNA from 1 species
CAAUGGGGGAACCCUGAUGCAGCGACGCCGCGUGAAGGAAGAAGUAUCUCGGCUAUGUAAACUUCUAUCAGCAGGGNAAGAGAUUGACGGUACCUGACUAAGAAGCCCCGGCUAACUACGUGCCAGCAGCCGCGGUAAUACGUAGGGGGCAAGCGUUAUCCGGAUUUACUGGGUGUAAAGGGAGCGUAGACGGAUGGACAAGUCUGAUGUGAAAGGCUGGGGCUCAACCCCGGGACUGCAUUGGAAACUGUUUUUCUAGAGUGUCGGAGAGGUAAGCGGAAUUCCUAGUGUAGCGGUGAAAUGCGUAGAUAUCGGGAGGAACACCAGUGGCGAAGGCGGCCUACUGGGCACCAACUGACGCUGAGGCUCGAAAGUGUGGGUAGCAAACAGGAUUAGAUACCCUGGUAGUCCAAGGGCGAAUUC